rnacentral:rRNA from 1 species
CAUAUGGAUUGUGUCAGCAGCUGCGCGGUAAUACGAAGGGACCUAGCGUAGUUCGGAAUUACUGGGCUUAAAGAGUUCGUAGGUGGUUAAAAAAGUUGGUGGUGAAAUCCCAGAGCUUAACUCUGGAACUGCCAUCAAAACUUUUUAGCUAGAGUAUGAUAGAGGAAAGCAGAAUUUCUAGUGUAGAGGUGAAAUUCGUAGAUAUUAGAAAGAAUACCGAUUGCGAAGGCAGCUUUCUGGAUCAUUACUGACACUGAGGAACGAAAGCAUGGGUAGCGAAGAGGAUUAGAUACCCUCGUAGUCCAUGCCGUAAACGAUGUGUGUUAGACGUUGGAAAUUUAUUUUCAGUGUCGCAGCGAAAGCGAUAAACACACCGCCUGGGGAGUACGACCGCAAGGUUAAAACUCAAAUGAAUUGACGGGGACCCGCACAAGUAGUGGAGCAUGUGGUUUAAUUCGAAGAUACGCGCAGAACCUUACCAACACUUGACAUGUUCGUCGCGACUCUAAGAGAUUAGAGUUUUCGGUUCGGCCGGACGAAACACAGGUGCUGCAUGGCUGUCGUCAGCUCGUGUCGUGAGAUGUUGGGUUAAGUCCCGCAACGAGCGCAACCCUUACUUUUAGUUGCCAU